rnacentral:rRNA from 1 species
GACGAACGCUGGCGGCGUGCUUAACACAUGCAAGUCGAACGGAAAGGCCCUGCUUUUGUGGGGUGCUCGAUUGGCGAACGGGGGAGUAACACGUGAGUAACCUCCCCUUGACUUUGGGAUAACUUCAGGAAACUGGGGCUAAUACCGGAUAGGAGCUCCUGCUGCAUGGUGGGGGUUGGAAAGUUUCGGCGGUUGUGGAUGGACUCGCGGCUUAUCAGCUUGUUUGUGGGGUAGUGGCUUACCAAGGCUUUGACGGGUAGCCGGCCUGGGAGGGUGACCGGGCACAUUGGGACUACGAUAGGGAGCAGACGGCUACGGGACGCAGUGGUGGGAAAUCUUGCACAAUGGGCCCAAGUCUGAUGUAGAAACGCUGCGUGCGGGAUGCCGGCCUUCGGGUUGUAAACAGAUUUCGACUGUGACGAAGCGUGAGUGACGGUAACGGGUAAAGAAGCACCGGCUAACUACGUG